UAAUAAAAUAUUAAAUAAUUAAUUUUACAAUGAAAAUGUAAAGUUUUUCUUAAACUAUAUUAAUGAGAAAU
rnacentral:tRNA from 1 species